rnacentral:rRNA from 1 species
GACGAACGCUGGCGGCGCGCUUAACACAUGCAAGUCGAGCGAUGAAACUCUAAGAGAACCCUUCGGGGCGAAGAUAAAAUUGAUUAGCGGCGGACGGGUGAGUAACACGUGAGUAACCUGCCCUAGACAUUGGGAUAGCCUCGGGAAACCGGGAUUAAUACCAAAUAAAAUCAUAAUGACUCAUGUCAUCACGAACAAACCUCCGGUGGUCUAAGAUGGACUCGCGUCCCAUUAGCUAGGUGGUAGAGUAAAUGCCUACCAAGGCGACGAUGGGUAGCCGGCCUGAGAGGGUGAACGGCCACAUUGGAACUGAGAAACGGUCCAAACUCCUACGGGAGGCAGCAGUGGGGAAUAUUGCACAAUGGAGGGAACGCUGAUGCAGCGACGCCGCGUGAACGAAGAAGGCUUUCGAGUCGUAAAGUUCUUUUAUAUGGGAAGAUAAUGACGGUACCAUAAGAAAAAGCCCCGGCUAACUACGUG